rnacentral:rRNA from 1 species
UGGUGGAGUGAUUUGUCUGGUUAAUUCCGUUAACGAACGAGACCUCAGCCUGCUAAAUAGACGGGCGAACACUUUGUGUUCGUAUACCGGUCUUCUUAGAGGGACAUUCGGUUUCUAACCGAAGGAAGUUUGAGGCAAUAACA